UAGUUAUAUAAAAAAGAGUUUGAAUCCCUCCUAGACUAUACACGUCGGCAGCCACGUCAUUAAUUCGCGCGCUGACAAGCCAACACGUGUUCCAGUUAAGUGAAACGCAACACUUCACUAAACUAUUUGUUACGUGGGUUUUUAUUUGACAUGGGCCUUCUUUUUGUUCGAUUAUGCCACUCCAUUAAUGUGUAUUUUCAAUUGGAAACGCGGCGUUGAAUGUCUUAGGGUUUUUUUUGCUUCAUCUCCGCCAUUCGAGAAUGAGACAGAACUAGAGUUCUAAGAGAUGUUUCAGCUUCUUAUUGUUAAUUUCUACCAGUUACAGAUUCCCCAUCUUAAAUUCCUUCUAAAAUCAUCACUCACGAUCUACCUUUGAGUUCUUCAUGCAAGGCGGUGUGAUCUCGAUUAUAAAAUGAUGGGUUUUCUGACUGGUGCUCGAAGCCUUGAAGAUUUACCUCUGGUAUAUUGAUUUCUCUUUAUGAAAAAAUUACUCUUCUAAAAGGAUGAGAGCAGUUUUCAGUUUUCAGAAAAUGAUCAUGCUGUUGGAAGCUCAAUAGAGAGCUAGAAGAUGCAGAGCAAAAGGUCACGGAAAUUAGGAAGAAGAUAACAACGUGUGUGAGUUGUCUAUGAUACAAGAACCGGUAACUAAUGGGGGAAAGAAGCUAUGAGUUGAUAACAUCAAUGCUGACAGUGGUUUUUCUGAGACAGAUUAUCCUGGUGACGAUAUUCCUGGAGCUGGAGCUGUGACAACAAAGCUCUCUUAAGGUGUGACCACUGACCAGGGACCUUUUGUAUACCAAGCUUAUACGGAGAAUCACAUCAUCCAUGGCACUACCAAUAGGUCCAUAAAUACGAAGCACUCGGUUGUGGUCGAUGGUUCAGACACGGAGGAGAUUUCUAGGUUAUUUAAUUUUUGUAAGAUGAUCUACCGUAGAAGACAUCAUGCCGUAUCAUUUUAUUAGAACAACACAACUUUUCCUUUGCUGCCUCUUUGUUUGAAUUCGCUUUUGACCAUUACCUUAUGUGCAUGUUCUCCCAACAUAUCAACCAUAUUUUUUAAUUAUGUUGAGAUCUUUA